GACGAACGCUGGCGGCGUGCCUAAUACAUGCAAGUCGAACGCACUGGGGACGGGUGAGUAACACGUGGGUAACCUCCCAUCAGAGGGGAUAACACUUGGAAACAGGUGCUAAACCGAUACUGGUUGAUGGACCCGCGGUGCAUUAGCUUGUUGGUGAGGUAACGGCUCACCAAGGCCACGAUGCAUAGCCGAUCUGAGAGGGUGACCGGCCACAAGGGGACUGAGACACGGCCCAGACUCCUACGGGAGGCAGCAGUGGGGAAUCUUCGGCAAUGUGCGAAAGGCUGACCGAGCGACGCCGCGUGAGUGAAGAAGGUGUUCGGAUCGUAAAACACUUUUGUCAGAGAAGCGGUAUCUAACCAGAAAGCCACGGCUAACUACGUGCCAGCAGCCGCGGUAAUAC
rnacentral:rRNA from 1 species